UUUUUCUUUUUCUCUCCGUAAAUCAGAUUGAGAAGGAGGAGCAGGUCGACCCCAAGAAAAAAGUGACCGAGAAAGGACUUCUUGUGAAUGGACAGCCUCUGCUUGUGGAUUUACUGCUUCACUGCAACCCAUCUGCCCUCAGACUUAUCUGGCCUCGAGUAUGACGCAGGGGUGGACACCUGCUGAUGUAACAACUACAGAUGCCCUCAGUCCCCAUGGUGUGGGAGCCUUAGGGCAGCCUGCCUGGAGCACUUGGACGAUGCCACUCCAUCACCUCCCUCUAUAACCGCCGAAGAGGCAUCUCUGUCCACCUUCUGACCCUCCACGGUUGUUCAGUCUGAAGAUUCCUGUGUCUUCAGGGAUGUGCAAAACAAGGUCAUGGCGUGCGACCAUCCAAAUGGCAAAUAUAAAAAAGAAAUUGUCAAGUGUUGGCGGUGACGCAAGAAAAAUCCUAGAAGCCACGGAUGGGAAUUUAUACACUGUCGCAACACCGUUGAGAUGUACUCUGGGGACACUAUCAAGGCAAAGUAUCUUAAAACCUCUAAUCAAGCGACUGUAAUUUUAGGCAUCCAUCCUGGGGAAAACUCACACCCUUUUAGAGAAAGGAGAAAUGCCCAAAUUUGUUUAAAAGAUCGUGGUUUGUAAUUAAGAGAGGUAGAAUGAGAUUAACCAAAAUGUCGGUCCACGGGAGAGCAAGAGAGUCAAUCUUGGGAUGUCCACAAAGUCCUAAGAGCAGUUAAAAGCCAAUCUGUCAGACAGACCCAUGCCGAGCAGGUAAAUCUAGAAAGCAAACCAAGGACUAUAAAAGUCAGCACCAGGCAGUAAAUCCAGAAUAAGAGCCUAUGCAUACAUAUUGGCAGCCCACAAUCCUGUACUGGUUAUUGCUUACAUAAGGAGAAGCCACAGAUCUCAUUCUUUCUUCUAGAAUGCAAUAGAAUUUAAAAAUGACAGCAGAACAAAAGGACACUAGAAAUUAUCCUGUCAGAAAUAAAAGUAUAAGAAAUAAUUUCUGGCUUGAGGAAAUAACCCAGGCUAAAAGCUACACGGGCCCGGCUUAACCAUACCAGCAGGGCAUACCUUUGUUAGGAGAGGGUCAAUUCGAAGUUUGUGAACAGCCUGGGUUGUUUCCAAGGCUGCAUAAAUCUUAAACACCAAAAAUGUGUGUUUUGAAUUAAUUUUGGGUCUGGUCUACAGAGUCCGGCUUGUGAUGGCUCCUGACACCGGAGAAAAGGGGAUAAGUUAAUAUAAGGCUCUGGGAUUUUCUUUGAGGAACAGGCAGGUAGGAAAGGACACUAGAAUGUUGGGGAAUGUGGAGGGAUGUAAAACAGACAGUAUUAUGGUGGGGGGAACUCA